CUCUCUCACAGAUCUCGUCUCUCUCUCUCAUCAAAUACCCAUCGACACCGGCACCGAGGUUCAUCUCUCUCGAAUCCAAAAAAAAAUUUCGACUCUAGCCAAAAAAAAUAGUGGGCAUCGAAAUUCAUCUUUCUCAAAUCUAAAAAGUACCGGAUGGCCCUCUUUCUCGUCUAUGUUUCCCAAUCACACCGAAGAGCUCGUCUCUCUCUCUCUCUCUCUCUCUCUCUCUCAUCAAAUACCCAUCAACGCCAGUCAGCCCAAGAGUGUAAAUGAAUACUUCAAGUUCUCAUUCCGGUUCAAAAGCUCUUGGACUGCAAGAGGGAAAGAUGUGGCUACUUUUGAUUGACCUUUUUGCUAAUGAAAGAGGAACGACAGGAUACAUGAUGAACAAGCCAAAUUAUAAGUCAUAGAGAAGAAGUACAAGGGAACCAUUAAAGUGUUGUUCUUGUCAUGGUUGUUUUAUUGUGAUUAUAAGUUUUAUGUAUCCGAACAAAAAUAAUGUAAUUCAGUCAUUGCUAAGACUCAUGUAAUCAUUAAGUUAUUUGUAAUCAUUAUUUUGUAAUGACAACAAUAGUUUUAUACAA